GGAUGGUUGAGUUGUGGGUGGACUCAAUGGAGACCUUGUUCGAGGAUCUUUACACGCUGGAGAAAGACAAGGUCUACCUCGCCACUCACUGCUUGGAGCGGACGGCGAAGGUUUGGUGGAAGAGAAUCAAGAGAAACCGAGCUUUCGACCUUCCGCCGUUGACGUNGUUUCGAAAAUUCAACCCACCGACCUUGAGGGGGAGAAGGUCGAGCUGUGGAUGGUUGAGUUGUGGGUGGACUCAAUGGAGACCUUGUUCGAGGACCUCUACACCUUGGAGAGGGACAAGGUCUGCCUCGCCACUCAUUGUUUGGAGCGGACGGCAAAGGUUUGGUGGAAGCGAAUCAAGAGAAACCGAGCUUCCGACCUUCCGCCGUUGACGUGGGAGGAGUUCCGGGGGUUGUUCUAUGUUAACUAUUUCCCCGACAGCGAGAAGAAGAAGCGGCAAGAGUAGU
rnacentral:lncRNA from 1 species